rnacentral:rRNA from 1 species
CGCGUAGGCGGCCAGACAAGUCGGAUGUGAAAUCCCUCGGCUCAACCGAGGAAUUGCGUUCGAAACUGUAUGGCUUGAGUUCGGGAGAGGGAAGUGGAAUUCCCAGUGUAGAGGUGAAAUUCGUAGAUAUUGGGAGGAACACCAGUGGCGAAGGCGGCUUCCUGGACCGAAACUGACGCUGAGGCGCGAAAGCGUGGGUAGCAAACA